rnacentral:rRNA from 1 species
UACGUAGGGCGCAAGCGUUAUCCGGAAUAUUGGGCGUAAAGAGCUCGUAGGCGGUUUGUCGCGUCUGCCGUGAAAGUCCGGGGCUCAACUCCGGAUCUGCGGUGGGUACGGGCAGACUAGAGUGAUGUAGGGGAGACUGGAAUUCCUGGUGUAGCGGUGAAAUGCGCAGAUAUCAGGAGGAACACCGAUGGCGAAGGCAGGUCUCUGGGCAUUAACUGACGCUGAGGAGCGAAAGCAUGGGGAGCGAACAGG